GACGAACGCUGGCGGCGUGCUUAACACAUGCAAGUCGAACGGAAAGGCCCUGCUUUUGUGGGGUGCUCGAGUGGCGAACGGGUGAGUAACACGUGAGUAACCUGCCCUUGACUUUGGGAUAACUUCAGGAAACUGGGGCUAAUACCGUAUAGGAGCUCCUGCUGCAUGGUGGGGGUUGGAAAGUUUCGGCGGGUGGGGAUGGACUCGCGGCUGAUCAGCUUGUUGGUGGGGGAGUGGCUUACCCAGGCUUUGACGGGUAGCCGGCCUGGGAGGGUGACCGGCCACAUGGGGACUGAGAUACGGCCCAGACUCGUACGGGAGGCAGCAGUGGGGAAUAUUGCACAAUGGGCGGAAGCCUGAUGAAGCAACGCCGCGGGCGGGAUGACGGCCUUCGGGUUGUAAACCGCUUUCGCCUGUGACGAAGCGUGAGUGACGGUAAUGGGUAAAGAAGCACCGGCUAACUACGUG
rnacentral:rRNA from 1 species